rnacentral:rRNA from 1 species
CCUACGGGAGGCAGCAGUGAGGAAUAUUGGUCAAUGGACGAGAGUCUGAACCAGCAACGUAGCGUGAAGGAUGACUGCCCUAUGGGUUGUAAACUUCUUUUAUAAAGGACUAAAACGAGGCACGUGUGCCUUUUUGCAUGUACUUUAUGAAUAAGGAUCGGCUAACUCCGUGCCAGCAGCCGCGGUAAUACGGAGGAUCCGAGCGUUAUCCGGAUUUAUUGGGGUUAAAGGGAGCGUAGAUGGGUUGUUAAGUCAGUUGUGAAAGUUUGCGGCUCAACCGUAAAAUUGCAAUUGAUACUGGCAUUCUUGAGUACAGUUGAGGUAGGCGGAAUUCGUGGUGUAGCGGUGAAAUGCUUAGAUAUGACGAAGAACCCCGAUUGCGAAGGCAGCUUACUAAACUGUGACUGACAUUGAUGCUCGAAAGUGUGGGUAUCAAACAGGAUUAGAUACCCGUGUAGUC